UACGUAGGGUGCAAGCGUUGUCCGGAAUUAUUGGGCGUAAAGCGCGUGUAGGCGGCCAGAUAAGUCCGCUGUGAAAUCUCGAGGCUCAACUUCGAGCUGUCGGUGGAAACUGUCUGGCUAGAGUCCGGAAGAGGAGGAUGGAAUUCCUGGUGUAGCGGUGAAAUGCGCAGAUAUCAGGAAGAACACCCGUGGCGAAGGCGGUUCUCUGGGACGGUACUGACGCUGAGACGCGAAAGCGUGGGGAGCGAACAGG
rnacentral:rRNA from 1 species